CUUUUAACGCUUAUCUUUCCCUCCUUCCCCUCACUCGUCUUCUCUUCUUCCCUGCCUCCCCAUCGAUCCCUCCAUUCAUUCCGCCUGUUGAGGGCAGCAAAGAGAGAGCGCCACCCUACGGCUUGGUGCUCUGAUUUUGUUCCAGUCUUCUCUCACCCACCACACCCACCCUAUUUAUUCUCGUUGUGGCCGGCCUAUGCGCCAUCCAUCGCAGAACUUCAGGCGGAGCUUCUUCUGUCACGUGCUCGCUCGGCUGCUUUUUCUCCUUGUCUAGCUUGUGCUCAUGUUCCUCUCCUUCGUUCUCGCGUUCGCUCGGUCACAAGGCACAGCUGCGCGCGCGUGUGUGCAUGGACGGCACACCCGCUCAUGUUUCUUUCCCUUCUUUUGUUCAGCGCUCGGCACUUCUCCCUGUUUGUGCGUCACCUUCCCUCCCUUCCCCUCCCCUCCUCACCGUUCUACUGGUCUUUCUCCUGCGAAUACUGUUGCCCUAGAGGCCAUGGUGUUGCCUCGUGCCCCCCUCUCCCCCCCAACUCCUUCCCCCGUUACACGGAGGAAAGAGGCGACGGCAUGAGUUGUCGCCGUGUAUCAGAGAUCAGCGAAAAGGCAGCAGUACGAUUGGUGGAGGGGAAGAGGGCGGCGGCGCGUGUUUCUCAAGCGGUGGCCGCUAGCGACUGACCCGAGCGUGAAGGAAAGGAGAGCGUGACGGACCAGUGGUUUCCGACUGAGCGUGAGUGCGCGUGUGCUGUCUGAUAUAUCGCGAGUGCCUUUCUUCUGCGUGUCUGCUUCUAUGCCCCUCUGUGCACAUGCGUCUGUCUGUCUGUUUGUGCGCCUGGGAGCACGUGCACAUGUGCGCGGCUGCGUACAUCUGCCCCUGUGUGACGCACACCCGGUGCCCCCAUCGCCCAUUUACUCGCUGGUUUGUUUUGCUGGGCUCUGCCAAGCAGAGGAGGGGCCGGCAGCCGCAGCGCGCUGAACGAAAAUCGGAAAGGAAACGGAUGUGGGCCGCCCGGGUGCAUCCGAUGGGGGGGCGCUUUGCCGCGCGCAGGCUGCAGGCGCCUCAGCGAACCGCGGCACCACCGCCUCGCUGCAUGCUGCCGCACGACAGCGCGCUGCGCCGAAGCGAAGGAAAAAAGGAAAACUCGAACACUGCAAAGGAUCGCCGUCGGUUUCUAUACAGGCUUAACCCAGUGAAGCAAAGGAAAAAGAAGGAGGACUCCCGCCGAAUCAGCUCGCGCAGUAAAGCAAAAGUGGGAGGAAGAGGGGGCAGCGGCUCUACGCACGCCAUGGGAUCAAGAGCCACUAACUGGAGCUGCAUGCGCCUUGUGCGCUCUUUUAGGAGGAAGGGGUGGGGCCAUACACGCUGAUGCGCGUUCCUUUUUGCCUGUCCCCGCCACUUCCUUCCUCUCUCACUGCGCGCGCAGCUUGCGGAGAAGGGGCGGCGAGUGCACGCCUAAUCCAAGAGAAGGGCUUGACCCACGAGGUGGCUCGCGCACCCCGGAGGAACAUGUGCGCAUGCACGCGGAAGAGAGGCAACGACGGGUUGCGAGAGGCGCAGAGGCCCCUCUUGCGCUUGGCCGUGGCGGAAGCACUUGCUCUCUUGUGUGGUCUCUCCUCUGUACUUUGGCCAUGGCGGUGCAGCUCCUCACCACGCUUCUGUCUUCCUUCAGCUGUGCCUCACCUUACCUCCUUGUGCGCGUCGCUGACGUUCUCUCCUCCACCCCUUCUCUUGCUUCAUUCCUUCGCCUCUACCUUUUGUGCGUCUCUCAUCUACUGCCCACAG
rnacentral:misc_RNA from 1 species